rnacentral:rRNA from 1 species
CGGCAGCACAGUAAGAGCUUGCUCUUAUGGGUGGCGAGUGGCGGACGGGUGAGGAAUACAUCGGAAUCUACCUUUUCGUGGGGGAUAACGUAGGGAAACUUACGCUAAUACCGCAUACGACCUUCGGGUGAAAGCAGGGGACCUUCGGGCCUUGCGCGGAUAGAUGAGCCGAUGUCGGAUUAGCUAGUUGGCGGGGUAAAGGCCCACCAAGGCGACGAUCCGUAGCUGGUCUGAGAGGAUGAUCAGCCACACUGGAACUGAGACACGGUCCAGACUCCUACGGGAGGCAGCAGUGGGGAAUAUUGGACAAUGGGCGCAAGCCUGAUCCAGCCAUACCGCGUGGGUGAAGAAGGCCUUCGGGUUGUAAAGCCCUUUUGUUGGGAAAGAAAAGCAGUCGGCUAAUACCCGGUUGUUCUGACGGUACCCAAAGAAUAAGCACCGGCUAACUUCGUGCCAGCAGCCGCGGUAAUACGAAGGGUGCAAGCGUUACUCGGAAUUACUGGGCGUAAAGCGUGCGUAGGUGGUUGUUUAAGUCUGUUGUGAAAGCCCUGGGCUCAACCUGGGAAUUGCAGUGGAUACUGGGCGACUAGAGUGUGGUAGAGGGUAGUGGAAUUCCCGGUGUAGCAGUGAAAUGCGUAGAGAUCGGGAGGAACAUCCAUGGCGAAGGCAGCUACCUGGACCAACACUGACACUGAGGCACGAAAGCGU